UCGCGGGUCCCAUGCGACGGCGACUCGCUAACCUGGUCAGGUACGGAAGUAAGCAGCCAUACGCUAAGAAACCGUGCGCCGUGGGUUCACCUGCGGGCC
rnacentral:SRP_RNA from 1 species